CUUGGAGCUACAAAAUACCCAGCUCUAAGAAACCUUAGAUCUGGAUCCCAACCAAAUACUCCAUUGGGCAAGUUCAAUAAGCUUGGUUAUAAGUCGAGACUAGCAUUAUAGACAAUCAUACAACAAUUGGACUCUUAACACAUUCCAACAUUUCCAUCCCCUCCCUAUGCUGCUGCCAUCAUCCUGAUCAAGCUCGGCACCCUGCUUCUCACAGGCCACUAUCCCCCUCCCAUGUCACCACCGUUACGGGCAUGGCACCCUAGCAUGAUGAUCCGUGCUAAAGCCACCUUCUUUCAAGCUUGCCACUCA
rnacentral:lncRNA from 1 species